rnacentral:rRNA from 1 species
UACGAAGGGGGCAAGCGUUAUUCGGAAUGAUUGGGCGUAAAGAGCGUGUAGGCGGUUGGAUAAGUUUGAUGUUUAAUUUCCUGGCUUAACUAGGAGCAUGCAUUGAAUACUGUCCGGCUAGAGUGUGAGAGAGGGAAGUGGAAUUCUUGGAGUAGCGGUAAAAUGCGUAGAUCUCAAGAGGAACGCUAAUGGCGAAGGCAGCUUCCUGGAGCACAACUGACGCUGAGACGCGAAGGCGUGGGGAGCAAACAGG